rnacentral:lncRNA from 1 species
AACCGGGCACGCUACCAAGGCCAAAGCGCAAGUAUAGUGGGGCCACUGGCACACUUCAUACCAGGAGACACGCACAUGGAGCGCUACACAGCCAGAAGCACCGCACUGCAGCACACAAUGUGAGGAGGUGACAACAUGGAGGGACACUACCCACUUCAUACACCUUUAUUUCCACUUUUCUGGUAUCUUCUGAGGACAGAACAUCUGUGAGCCAAUUGUGAUUUAAUCAGAACGUUGACUUUUAAAACGGUUCUUUAAAGAAAAUGUAGCGGAUGUAUGCCGUGACUUGUAUUUAUGACUGUAAAACCAUGUGAUGCAGGGUCGCAGUGUAUGUUUGAUGGGACGCCAUCUUUCAGAACUGUGCUAACUCACUGUUGAAGCGUCCAAUGGUAAGAGAAAAAUACAGACUUGUUUUUUUGUGACAAAUGGACAUUGUACUCUGUACUACUGCUGUAAGUAGCCCUUUUCCAUCUUUGUAAUGACUUGAACGACAAAAGUUCAGGCAGGGUGGCAGGAAAGGGCAGUGGUUCCAAGCUCUGGGUCUCGGUACUACCUAGACCUGGACUGAGGUCGGCUCGGCCACUGAUUUGCAAGUGUCCUAACGCUCAGUGAAGAGUAACUGCUCUAAUUUCUUAUCUGUAAACUGGGGCUAAGAAAUGAGUACCUACCUCAUAGGGUUGUUGUGAGGAACUCAAGCUGUGAUGUCUGUAAAGUGCUUACCAGUGUCUGCCACUUAAGCGCUGAACUAAUGGUUAAUUGAGAACUGCAGCUGGGGUCGGGAGGGGGCUCUGCGUCAUUGUUGGGUCUGAGAUUGUUGAUGCCUUGUAUCUACCUAACUGCUCUUUGAAACUGAUUGUGCUGUUGCCCUGCUUGUCAGCUCCUACAGUCCCUCGCGGUUGGAUGGGAUGUGGAGGGUGGCAGCGCCCAGGGUUGAUAAAGGGGCCUGGAGUGGAGCCUUGAGCUUCCGGAACAUAGAGGCAAUGUGGGCUGUUCACCUCAUUUCUGUCCAUCUUGGAUUGCUUAAUUUGGUUGUUGCCCUUCAUCUUUCUCCCUUCAUUGGGAAUUACUUGUUAAAACUGCUCUUCCUCUCCAUAUGUAAUCCGUCCAUGCCAUAGUUCCCUAGAUGGUCUGGGAGCUGGGUGGGUCCUGCCUGUUCUCUACUAUAUAUAAGCCAUAACGUGGCAGGCAGUGUAAGGAACCCCAUAUCCAUAGCCAAGGAGAGCAGCUGCUCUGUGCGCACAGGGGAGGGAAAGUAGACCCAGCUGUGAGACCUGGGCUUCACGCCCCCUUCCCUGCACCUUAGGAAGGAGGCCCAAGCAGCCCUUAUAAGGAAAGAGUGUAGCCAUGCUCAGAGCUCAGUGGCCUUGAGAUUGGCCUCUGUAGUCAGGAGUCCGGGGAUUCAUUUCUUGAGUUCUAUUCCUAAUUCUGUUUUCAAUCUACAGGUGACCCUGGCAGUAACCCCAACAAACGCCAGCGGCAGCCCCCUCUCCUGGGAGAUCAUCCCGCAGAAUAUGGUGAGGGCAGGGGGUUCCCCUCCGUGGACUCCCGUGGCUCAUGUGCCCCUGCCCGUCGUCCGCCGCGAAAAUUCUCACCCGUCCUCCCUCUCUUUCCUUCCCACCCCCCAGGAGGGCCCCAUGGUGGGUACCACAGCCAUUACCAUGAUGAGGGCUACGGGCCCCCCCCACCUCACUACGAAGGGAGAAGGAUGGGCCCACCUGUGGGGGGUCACCGCCGGGGCCCAAGUCGCUAUGGCCCCCAGUAUGGUCAUCCCCCACCCCCUCCCCCA